CCUACGGGAGGCAGCAGUGGGGAAUUUUGGACAAUGGGCGAAAGCCUGAUCCAGCAAUGCCGCGUGCAGGAUGAAGGCCUUCGGGUUGUAAACUGCUUUUGUACGGAACGAAACGGUCUUUUCUAAUACAGAAGGCUAAUGACGGUACCGUAAGAAUAAGCACCGGCUAACUACGUGCCAGCAGCCGCGGUAAUACGUAGGGUGCAAGCGUUAAUCGGAAUUACUGGGCGUAAAGCGUGCGCAGGCGGUUAUGUAAGACAGUUGUGAAAUCCCCGGGCUCAACCUGGGAAUUGCAUCUGUGACUGCAUAGCUAGGGUACGGUAGAGGGGGAUGGAAUUCCGCGUGUAGCAGUGAAAUGCGUAGAUAUGCGGAGGAACACCGAUGGCGAAGGCAAUCCCCUGGACCUGUACUGACGCUCAUGCACGAAAGCGUGGGGAGCAAACAGGAUUAGAUACCCUGGUAGUCCACGCCCUAAACGAUGUCACUGGUUGUUGGUCUUCACUGACUCAGUAACGAGCUAACGCGUGAAGUUGACCGCCGNGGGAGGUACGGUCCGGCGAGUUAGUUAACGUACGAAGAAGUUAGACGGCGNGNGACGNGCGACGGACGACGACGAGGGAGGAGG
rnacentral:rRNA from 1 species